ACAGAUAAGGAGCUUGCUCCUUUGACGUUAGCGGCGGACGGGUGAGUAACACGUGGGUAACCUACCUAUAAGACUGGGAUAACUUCGGGAAACCGGAGCUAAUACCGGAUAACAUUUGGAACCGCAUGGUUCUAAAGUGAAAGAUGGUUUUGCUAUCACUUAUAGAUGGACCCGCGCCGUAUUAGCUAGUUGGUAAGGUAACGGCUUACCAAGGCGACGAUACGUAGCCGACCUGAGAGGGUGAUCGGCCACACUGGAACUGAGACACGGUCCAGACUCCUACGGGAGGCAGCAGUAGGGAAUCUUCCGCAAUGGGCGAAAGCCUGACGGAGCAACGCCGCGUGAGUGAUGAAGGGUUUCGGCUCGUAAAACUCUGUUAUUAGGGAAGAACAAAUGUGUAAGUAACUGUGCACGUCUUGACGGUACCUAAUCAGAAAGCCACGGCUAACUACGUGCCAGCAGCCGCGGUAAUACGUAGGUGGCAAGCGUUAUCCGGAAUUAUUGGGCGUAAAGCGCGCGUAGGCGGUUUCUUAAGUCUGAUGUGAAAGCCCACGGCUCAACCGUGGAGGGUCAUUGGAAACUGGGAAACUUGAGUGCAGAAGAGGAAAGUGGAAUUCCAUGUGUAGCGGUGAAAUGCGCAGAGAUAUGGAGGAACACCAGUGGCGAAGGCGACUUUCUGGUCUGUAACUGACGCUGAUGUGCGAAAGCGUGGGGAUCAAACAGGAUUAGAUACCCUGGUAGUCCACGCCGUAAACGAUGAGUGCUAAGUGUUAGGGGGUUUCCGCCCCUUAGUGCUGCAGCUAACGCAUUAAGCACUCCGCCUGGGGAGUACGACCGCAAGGUUGAAACUCAAAGGAAUUGACGGGGACCCGCACAAGCGGUGGAGCAUGUGGUUUAAUUCGAAGCAACGCGAAGAACCUUACCAAAUCUUGACAUCCUUUGAAAACUCUAGAGAUAGAGCCUUCCCCUUCGGGGGACAAAGUGACAGGUGGUGCAUGGUUGUCGUCAGCUCGUGUCGUGAGAUGUUGGGUUAAGUCCCGCAACGAGCGCAACCCUUAAGCUUAGUUGCCAUCAUUAAGUUGGGCACUCUAGGUUGACUGCCGGUGACAAACCGGAGGAAGGUGGGGAUGACGUCAAAUCAUCAUGCCCCUUAUGAUUUGGGCUACACACGUGCUACAAUGGACAAUACAAAGGGCAGCUAAACCGCGAGGUCAUGCAAAUCCCAUAAAGUUGUUCUCAGUUCGGAUUGUAGUCUGCAACUCGACUACAUGAAGCUGGAAUCGCUAGUAAUCGUAGAUCAGCAUGCUACGGUGAAUACGUUCCCGGGUCUUGUACACACCGCCCGUCACACCACGAGAGUUUGUAACACCCGAAGCCGGUGGGAGUAACCA
rnacentral:rRNA from 1 species